AUUCAGACCCUCGUUGCAAUGCUCUGGAAUUCUGUGGGGAAAAGCAAGAGAGAUCAGAUUGUUACUGUGUCUGUGUAGAAAGAAGUAGACAUAGGAGACUCCAUUUUGUUCUGUACUAAGAAAAAUUAUUCUGCCUUGAGAUUCUGUUAAUCUAUGACCUUACCCCCAACCCCGUGCUCUCUGAAAUAUGUGCUGUGUCAAACUCAGGGUUAAAUGGAUUAAGUGUUGUGCAAGAUGUGCUUUGUUAAACAGUUGCUUGAAGGCAGCAUGCUCCUUAAGAGUCAUCACUACUCCCUAAUCUCAAGUACCCAGGGACACAAAAACUGCGGAAGGCCGCAGGGACCUCUGCCUAGGAAAGCCAGGUAUUGUCCAAGGUAUAUCCCCAUGGGAUAGUCUGAAAUAUGGCCUUAUGGGAAGGGAAAGACCUGACCGUCCCCCAGCCCGACACCCGUAAAUGGUCUGUGCUGAGGAGGAUUAGUAUAAGAGGAAGGCAUGCCUCUUGCAGUUGAGACAAGAGGAAGGCAUCUGUCUCCUGCCCGUCCAUGGGCAAUGGAAUGUCUCGGUAUAAAACCCGAUUGUACGUCCCAUCUACUGAGAUAGGGAAAAACCGCCUUAGGGCUGGAGGUGGGACAUGCGGGCAGCAAUACUGCUUUGUAAAGCAUUGAGAUGUUUAUGUGUAUGCAUAUCUAAAAGCACAGCACUUGAUUCUUUACCUUGUCUAUGAUGCAAAGACCUUUGUUCACGUGUUUGUCUGCUGACCCUAUCCCCACUAUUGUCUUGUGACCCUGACACAUCACCCUCUCGGAGAAACACCCACAAAUGAUCAAUAAAUACUAAGGGAACUCAGAGGCUG
rnacentral:lncRNA from 1 species